rnacentral:rRNA from 1 species
UACGUAGGGUGCAAGCGUUAAUCGGAAUUACUGGGCGUAAAGCGUGCGCAGGCGGUUUUGUAAGUCGGGCGUGAAAUCCCCGGGCUCAACCUGGGAAUUGCGAUGGAGACUGCAAGGCUAGAAUCUGGCAGAGGGGGGUAGAAUUCCACGUGUAGCAGUGAAAUGCGUAGAGAUGUGGAGGAACACCGAUGGCGAAGGCAGCCCCCUGGGUCAAGAUUGACGCUCAUGCACGAAAGCGUGGGGAGCAAACAGG